AUACCAGUCAGGCUCCUGGCUAGUGUCCAGCUCUCAGCUGGCACCUGGUCUAACCAAAGCCUGACAAUAAG
rfam:Neotoma lepida isolate 417 scaffold_38523, whole genome shotgun sequence.